GCCGGGUGCGGUGGCGCACGCCUGUAAUCCCAGCAGCUCGGGAGGCUGAGGCAGGAGGGUCCCGAGUUCAAAGUCAGCCUCAAUAAUUUAGCAAAGCUCUAAGCAACUCAGUGAGACCCUGUCUCUA
rnacentral:sRNA from 1 species